rnacentral:rRNA from 1 species
CUUGCACACUGGAUAUUCCAGCGGCGGACGGGUGAGUAACGCGUGAGCAACCUGCCCUUCAGUGGGGGAUAACACAGGGAAACCUGUGCUAAUACCGCAUAACACAUAUUGAUGGCAUCAUGGAUAUGUCAAAGAUUUAUCGCUGAAGGAUGGGCUCGCGUCCCAUUAGCUUGUUGGCGGGGUAACGGCCCACCAAGGCGACGAUGGGUAGCCGAUUUAAGAGGAUGAUCGGCCACAUUGGAACUGAAACACGGUCCAAACUCC